GCACAACCAAAAACAAACAAACAACAACCCCAAACCCUCCAAAGCAACGGAGAAGGUGAAGACAAGAAAAAGCCCAUUGUACUUGACAAAAAAGUAUAGCUCCCUAAAUAAAAGACUGAGUGUCUGAAUACUUUUCUGCUCUUGAGAAAGGAAGAAACAGAGUCUAUGAAAGGACAGUACAAAUGUGAACACUUGAAAAAUUCUGAGUCCUCCACUACGGUGUGAAAUUCAUCAUCCGAAUUCUCAUAGAUUUAAGCUUCACGAUUUGUGAGGUAUUGCAGUGAAAUUAUUUGGGAAGCAGAGAGUUCUAUAAGCAUCCAGCUGUCAGAAUUCAACUGGCCACAUGACUAAUGACUUUGCGAGGCACAUUCAGGGCCUUUCAUUUCCCAAGCACUUGAUAAACAUGGAGUAAUCUCACAGUGCCCUUGUGAGAUAUUAUCAUGUUCAUUUUCCAUAUGGUUAACUGAGCCAAGGAGGUUAAAUGACGCGCUCAGAGGCCACACACACAGUCAAUGACAUCAAAUGCUCAGAACGAAGGCCGAAUCCCUCUCCUAGCACCAUUGAGAAGCCUGAAUGACAGGCCAGUGCGGUAAUAGAUCAUACUUUACAGCUGAGAUAAGUGAGGAUUAGCAUGCGGUCUCAUGCAGGUCAGGGCUGGCCCCUGGAAAGAGAGAGAGAAAACGAUGCUCUGCAAGACCAUGUGACGUAUAAAAGGAAGAGUAGAACCAGACAUGGGUGAGAUCUCUCUGUGAAUUUCCAAAGACCUUUAUUUACCAAGAUGGGAGGUGGAAUGCCAGUGGAGACAGGCAGGCUAGGUGUAGUCUUUGGUUGACAAGCGUCUUAAAUCUGAACUAUGAUGCCCUUACCUUCCUUACAAAUACUUGCAUUCUUCUUUACCAUUCAGUUUCAAUUUUAAUUGUCUUAUUAUACUUCUUCCUAGCUUCAUAUUUCUCAAGCUGAUGCUCUUUUGGUCUAAAAAUAUGCCAAAAUAUUGUCAUACUGUCAACUCCUAUGCGCAUGGCCUUUAAGAAGACCACAGUCUCUGAUGAAUUGGUUCACAUAAGGUGAAAUCUGACAGUCUGUAAUUGAGUAGCUCCCUAGGUUAGGAUACAUGCCUUUGAUUUGCAAUGCUAUAUUUUCAGCCAAGUCUUAAAACUUUUUUGUGCCUUAGUUAUUUCCAAAUGAAGAUAAGAGCAUGGAGAGAAUGCUGUUGAUGCUUUGCCCAUAUUCCCCUUCUAUACAGGAGCCUGCAGACCCAAUGACUCCAACUGUAUGCACUUGUGACUCUUUGCCUGCGGGCCUUCUCUGACCCGGUCAGAAACCUGGAGCGAUAGUGCCCUGAGAGUAGACCUCAAGCCAAGACUGAUGCGAACUGAAGCAAGAAAGUACCUUCUUUACCACUCAGGCCUUCAACAGAUUGGCUGAUGCCCACCCACAGAGGGAAAGGCAGUCUCCUUUAUUCAGUCUGCAGCUUCAAAUGUGAUGAUCUUCUGGAAACUCCUUCACAGGCAUACCCAGAGAUAGCUUUCUGGUAACUGAUUCUCCCGCUCAUAAACGCCUACAGGGAGCAGAGAGGUGGCUGCUUGAAACUGAAGGUAAAUGCACUGCCUGAUUUACUGGUACAGAAUCACUUUCUCCAUCUGCACUCCCUAAGCCCUCCCUGUCCUUUGAUCCUGAACUGAGCUGCUUUAAAAAGAAAGAUGCUUGGGGCUGGAACAAGGUCUGCCUGCUCCAAGGGGGACUGGAGGCCAUUCAUACCCACGUGAGUACAUUUGGAAACUUUGGGGAGAGGAAGACUUUGAAAAUUGAAGUUCUAUUGGAUAAAGGCAACUAAGUCAUUGUCCUAUGAAGUCCUAAUUGAAGGAAUUUGGGCAGGAUAUACAGUGGGGAAGGGAAGUAAAGCAUAACUCUGUGGAUGGGUCUCUGUUCAAAUCUUUUGCCCAUUUAAAACAACAUUUUACAAAAAAUUUAUGGCUGCACUGGUGGCAUAUGGAACUUCUCGAGCCAGGAACUGAAUCAAAGCCACAGCUGUUAUGCCACAGCUGUGGCAAUGCUGGAUCCUUUAACCCACUGCAUCAGGGUGGGCAUUGAAUUCCUCUUUGGCCCAUUUUUAAAUUGGAUUUUUUUGCCUUUUAUAUUAUUGAGUUCAAGAGUUCUUUAGAUAAUCUGGGUACAACUUCCUUGUCAGGGAUGUCUUGUGAGUAUCUUCUCCCGAUCCAACAGCACUUUUUACGUUGUUUUCAUUUCAAAAGAGCUCCUCUAAUAAAUUAUGUUUUGUUGAGGUCAAGACUACCGCUGUUCUUUCAAGGUUAUGCUCACAUUCUUUUGAGUCUCUUAAAAGAGCAGUGCAUUUUAUGUACAUUCAUUCCUAUUUAAUGCACUAGUGUUUACCAAUGUCUAUCUACCAAAAUACUUUGGCCAGUCACUGACUUGUGGUGAAUGCUUCUUAAAUUGCCUAUGGUUUCAGAUCCCUGGCUUAGGUGAAAAAUACUCGCUCACCACACUGAGGUGAAAGUCACAUUAGCUGUGUGAGGCAAGGGCCGUCUUAGCCUACCCCAACAUCGCUGUCCCUUUGCUCCUGAUUCAACACAGGAGGCAAUGUGCUUAGCUUCCUUGUAGCUAGGUGUGGUCUUGUGACCAGUCCCUGGAGAAUAAGCUGUCACCUUCUUUGAGAAAUUAAUAUUUCAUUGUUGUUAUCACUAUCUUUAGGCUUCAGACAAAUGCCAAUGGUCGUACAUAUUGAAAGCUUUACCAGAUGGAAGGUUUUUGUUCCUCCCUUUGUCCGUUUAGCUUUCUUUCCUCUCCUUUCCUUUUCCUUCCUACCUUUCCCGGCUCUCUCUUAUUCUUUCCCAUCGCUCUUCCCCCUUUCUCCAGAAGAAGAGCUUUAUAUUUUAGGGAUAAGUUUACAACAGAUAGACUAUAAGUGGUCAGCUGGUCUUAAAUGCCUUGAGGCUGGGGAGUGAGGCAGUAGGAAGUUUCAUUCUGAUGUAGAAGCUUUUGUCAGCUUCCAUUCUAGGCUCAUUUAUACAUCCUCUCUGGUACUUAACUUCAUUUGCUUUUAAUAAUCUACUCUUCUGUGGUUUUGACUUUCCAUUGCCUCCUACACAUCUGUUUGGAUUGAUAUUCUGCUGUUCGUCAUGCAAGCAUGAUUUCACUUUGAAAAUGAUUUCCUUUUGAUGGAUGCUCUUGUUGUUCAGGCAAGCAUGGUCUUGUGUUCUUAAGAUUCUCUGUUAAGCUGGUCUCAGCACUCCCAAAAAUCAUCCCUCAGGGUCUCAGGCAUUCACUCAUACUAGCUCCACACUUCUUUGUAAUUAAAUGCCAAAAAUGUUGCAUUCCUUGGAUUUAUCUAUAUCAGGGCUUGGCAAACUACAGCUGGUGGGCAAAAUCUGGUCUUGGCUUGUUUCUGCCUGGCCUGCGAGCUAAGACUGAUUUUUAUGUUUUUUAAGUAUUGUAAAAGCAAACAAAACACAAAGCAGAAGAUGUGAGAGGCUGUAGCCACAGAACCUAACAUAUUUACUAGGCUCUUAAUUGAAAGAGCUUGCCUAUGCCUGACCUAUAUGAUUAAUGAAGUUUCUGUCUAUGUGACACCCACCUCAUCACUGAAAACAAGUCAUAUGUCUUUCCAGGGCUGUUUUUGGUAUAGUUUGACUUUAAGUAUGAGCUGUGAAGACUAUAUAAAAUGCACCUUAGGGAGAUCCUGGGAAUGAUAUCAGGAGUUAGGUAGUGAUCUCCCAAGGCAGCCAAAACUAAGACUCAGUGAGAGAUCGUGUAUGAUUGAGACACACCAGACAAACAAUGGUUGUAAAUACAAGCCCCCAAGUGAAAAUACCAAGAAUCAAUGCUCCCAAUUAAUGUGAAGACUGAGCUGCUUUUCCUUUGGCCUUCUCCACAGCAAGAAGAGAGGCGUGGGGAGCUGUAGCUCCAAGGACUUAUUUACCUGAUGACAGGCAGUAAUCCGCCCAAAAAACCUCAGAGGGAGGUCAACCAGCACGAAAUUUCCCUCAUUUAUAUCAUUCACUAUGCACACUGCUCAUUAUACAGUGGAAAGGAACACGCUGUGGUGUACUUGCCUUCUAUAUUAUGACAUCUGCAAUCAACUUGAACACAACACUAGUUAUUUUUACACUGAAAAACUUUGACCCUAUGGUCUCCCUAGUGUACACAUGCAGCAGGUUUUUCCUCACUCAACCAUCUUCAACCAUCUCUCUACCUUAUGCCACAUACCCCUUCCUGUGCCUCUACCCAGGUAGGUCCCCACCUGGAAUGGCUCUCUCCUAAUUCUGCUGAUUGAAAUUGUUCAGCCUUCAAGCCCUGACUCAAACACCUUUCCUCAGAAACCUUUCCAGAUUCCCUCAGUCAGAACUCCUUCCUCUAGGCCCGAGGAUUCCAAUGGCCCUGGACCAAUUUUAAGCUUGUUUCUUGGCCUGAGGCUUCCCCACCAUGCAGAGAAGUAUAAAACCCACCUGACACACCCAAAUGUGUCACAGAACUUGGCUUGUGAUUUCUGGUGACUGUUUUCCAACCCAACAUCCAGAAGGACAGCAAGCUUCUUCAAGGUUUAUCUAGACUAGUGGGGAGUUUUCCUGACCCCCUUUCCCUGGAGCAGGCAGUGCUUCAGGGUUCUGUCACGACCAAGGUCGAGUUAGGCUCCCAACAUCAUGGGGCCCAGGCUGAACUUCCUGUCCUUGAGGUGGCAGUCCUUAAGGCUUGAAUCCUUUCCAAUCCCUUUGGGCUGCUGCUACAUCACACUGCCAUUGCAUACUGCUCUGGCUUUGGUUUCUUUGUGUCUGCUUCCUACAUUUUUACCUUUCUUUUGUGCUGGGCUUGCAUUGUGGUGUUGUCUUAUGUUAUCUAGUAUCUCUGUGUUUUGGGAGCCUUGUGUAAGGACAAUGAUGCUGGAGGGAAGCCUGCUCACUCCAGCUCAUUCUGCCAUGUUGCCUGAUGGUCUCAGAGCAGUAUAUGAAGUUCUGUUUAAUUUUGGAAGUGGUCAUGAUUAUUCAUUUCAUUUCAUUUGAGAGAAUAGGAAGAUGCUGAAUAUGCUACUUAUGUAAUAUCACUACAUCUCUAAAUCUAGAUGUCUAGGGGUCCCACACAAUAUUGUUUCUAAAUUUUUCCAUCUAAAGAAAUAGAUCCCACAAGUUCCCAUUGUGGCUCAGUGGGUUUCAAACCCGACUAGUACCUAUGAGCAUGAGGGUUUGAUCCCUGACCUUGCUCGUUGGGUUAAGGAUCUGGUUGGAUCACAGGCUUGGCUUGGAUCCCAAAUUGCUGUGGCUGUGGCUGGUGGCUGUAGCUCCAAU
rnacentral:lncRNA from 1 species